rnacentral:misc_RNA from 1 species
GAUGAAGAACGUAGCGAAAUGCGAUACUUAGUGUGAAUUGCAGAAUCCCGUGAACCAUCGAGUCUUUGAACGCAAGUUGCGCCCGAAGCCAUUAGGCCGAGGGCACGCCUGCCUGGGCGUCACACAUCGUUGCCCCCCCAUCUACUCCUUCGGGAUUGCGGGGGGCGGAUGAUGGCCUCCCGUGCGCCUCGUCGCGCGGUUGGCAUAAAUGCCAAGUCCUCGGCGACGCACGCCACGACAAUCGGUGGUUGCGAAACCUCGGUUGCCCGUCGUGUGCGGUCGUCGCGCAUCGAGGGCUCGAAAAAAUUGCCGGGCUCCGGCUCGGCUUUCAACGCGACCCCAGGUCAGGCGGGGUUACCCGCUGAAUUUAAGCAUAUCAAUAAGCGGAGGA